rnacentral:rRNA from 1 species
UACGUAGGGGGCGAGCGUUGUCCGAAUUUACUGGGCGUAAAGCGCGCGUAGGCGGUUUCUUAAGUCUGGGGUGAAAGGUUCAACGCUCAACGUGAACAGUGCCUUGGAUACUGGGAGACUUGAGUCUGGGAGGGGGUAGUGGAAUUCCUGGUGUAGCGGUGAAAUGCGUAGAUAUCGGGAGGAACACCAGUGGCGAAGGCGACUUCCUGGCCUGUUCUUGACGCUGAGGCGCGAAAGCUAGGGUAGCAAACGGG